CUAGACUCAGUGUGCUGCCAGCCUGGGUCUCAGGUGCUGCCAGCCUGGGUCUCAGGUGCUGCCAGCCUGGGUCUCAGUGUGCUGCCAACCUGGGUCUCAGGUGCUGCCAGCCUGGGUCUCAGUGUGCUGCUAGCCUGGGUCUCAGGUGCUGCCAGCCUGGGUCUCAGGUGCUGCCAGCCUGGGUCUCAGGUGCUGCCAGCCUGGGUCUCAGUGUGCUGCCAGCCUGGGUCUCAG